CAUGGGAGUAACAGAAGUAGUGGGGUAGGUGGAGGAGAUAUGGACAUCAAAUUCGAAGCUAAGUGGUUGGAGGAGGAAGCAUGUGAAGGGAUUGUGGAGAAUGCAUGGAAAACCAGCAGUGACAUACAUGGGCGAGAGGUGUCGGAGGCUCUUAGAGAUGUGGCCAAGGAUCUAAUAAAUUGGAGCAAAAAUGUUUUGGGUGAUUUGAAGAAAUGUAUUGCUAGAGCAAAGAAAGAGUUGGAAAGAUGGAGACGAGCCCCUAUCUCAAUGGAGCAAGCAAAAAGGGAGCAAAUGUUGCGAUACAAAUUGGAGAAGCUUGAGCAGCAGCGUGACACAUAUUGGCGUCAAAGAGCACAUGUGGGCUAGUUGCAGAAAGGAGAUAGAAACACCAAAUUUUACCACGCUUAUGCUUCAGAGAGAAAGAGAAGAAACAUAAUUAAAAAACUGAAAGUGGAGGGGGAGAGUGGUGGAUGGAGAGGAGGAGAUGGCGGUGGUAGUGACACAAUAUUUCAAUAA
rnacentral:rRNA from 1 species